rnacentral:rRNA from 1 species
AGGGUUUGAUCAUGGCUCAGAAUCAACGCUGGCGGCGUGCCUCAGACAUGCAAGUCGAAUGCGAAAGUUCCCUUCGGGGAGCAAGUAGAGUGGCGCACGGGUGAGUAACACGUAGGUAAUCUACCUUUGGAUGGGGAAUAACAACCGGAAACGGUUGCUAAUACCGCAUAAUGCAGCGGCACCUAAUGGUGACAGUUGUUAAAGCGGGGGAUCGAAAGACCUCGCGUCUAAAGAGGAGCCUGCGGCGGAUUAGCUAGUUGGUAAGGUAACGGCUUACCAAGGCUAUGAUCCGUAACCGGCCUGAGAGGGCGGUCGGUCACACUGACACUGACAUACGGGUCAGACUCCUACGGGAGGCAGCAGUCGGGAAUUUUGGGCAAUGGGCGAAAGCCUGACCCAGCAACGCCGCGUGAAGGAUGAAAUCCCUCGGGAUGUAAACUUCGCAAGAACAGGAAGAAUAAACCGGUGCCAACACCACCGGCGAUGACGGUACUGUUUGUAAGCUCCGGCUAACUCCGUGCCAGCAGCCGCGGUAAUACGGGGGGAGCAAGCGUUGUUCGGAUUUACUGGGCGUAAAGGGCGCGUAGGCGGCCACCGCAAGUCGGUUGUGAAAUCUCUGGGCUUAACCCAGAAAGGUCAACCGAUACUGCGGGGCUAGAGUGCAGAAGGGGCAACUGGAAUUCUCGGUGUAGCGGUGAAAUGCGUAGAUAUCGAGAGGAACACCUGCGGCGAAGGCGGGUUGCUGGGCUGACACUGACGCUGAAGCGCGAAAGCUAGGGGAGCGAACGGGAUUAGAUACCCCGGUAGUCCUAGCCUUAAACGAUGAAUGCUUGGUGUCUGGGGUUUUAUAGUCCCCGGGUGCCGUCGCUAACGCUUUAAGCAUUCCGCCUGGGGAGUACGGUCGCAAGA